AAAUAUAGUUCCAUUUCUAAUUCUACAUUUAAACUUCUGGAGGCCUUCCCUAACAAAUCCAUAAUGGUCUUGGAUAUUCUCUCAUGCUUUCCCUCCCCACUUUAUUUUGUUACUGAGCUGUUGCUCCCAGUUAUGUCAAUUCUAGGUUUUUAAAUAUCUAUGAGAGGGGAAAUGAACAGAGUAGUCAGGGAAGUGCACAGACCAUCAAAAGGAAGAGCAGAAGGCUGGCUCUCUAUCUCGCACAGGUUUUCUAACUUAAGUAAAACAGUAAAACAUUCCAAUUUCCCUAAGCAGAUCCUCUCCCCUCACAUCUCCUUCUCCUGUUUUCUUCCAACAUUUAAAAUUUUUUUAUGGUUAGCCCCUUACACUGAUCACAAGGCUGUCAAUAGGAUCCAACCCACGUUAAUUCUGUCCUUGUCCAUUUUAAAUCCUUAUUACGCGGAAAUAAAAUAUAUCAGAUAUCUUCAGGGGUUUAGAAUUUAGAAGCAUGCCUAUUUAAUCCUGCUUCCAUCAAGGAUCGAGCACGUAAGACAAAGCAAAGUCUGGCUUUUCUCAAUGCAAAUCCUGGGACGUGGGUUCCCAGAAAACAGCGCAAGGUACAGCCCCAGAUGGAAACUCCCAGUCUUACUGAGGGGGAAAAACGGGGUUUUACAGAGACCAGUCCCUUGGGGCUUAAAAGCGCGUCCCCAGGGAGCUUCGCUUUCAGUUCUGUGAGAAGUUCGGGGCUGCAAGAGUCCAGCUACUCGUUGAACCCAGGCUGCCUGUGAGUAACUUGGCGCUGCCUGGAGCACGGGUAUGGCUGGUUUGGCUCAGUGCUCGCCCAGGGCAACGCUGGUUAGGGACAGACUGUCACUGGAAGUCACUGACUACCUCUGAGAUCUGGCUGCAAGUUGUCACCGCUGAGCGGCGUGGAGGUUGCAGCGUUCAGUCUCGGGACAGAAGGAGGCGGGCGUAGUCAUGAUGACCACAACUGCAACAGGAGCACGCUCUCACCCAUAAUCACUCCCAGGACCAUGGUCUUCCGCGGAGUUGACACAAGUCCGCGCUGAACAGGCCAGUCUCUGCAGCUGGUUUCUUUCACCCACGCCGCGCCUGUUGUUUCAUCCAUCCCAGGAGGGGCGGCACACAUCACAGCCUGGCUCUGUGCUUUGCUUUUUCCAUAACUUCCGUAGGAUCAGCCGGCAGUGUACUUUCAGUUUCUUCUUUGAGCUUAGUCUGUAGGUUCAAUCUUUAGGUUUAUCCUCUGGACGCCUUUACCAUCUCCUCUCUGCUGGGCACCCGUGUCCUUCCUUAGCGCUUUCCAUGCACCUGGACCAGGACCAGAGGGAGGUGCAAACUUGCCAAGUACCGCAGGAGAAAUCAGGUGGCCUUCUGAUUCAGAGCGAUUCAGGGUAAAAGACUUUUCAGAUGACUUCUAACCGCCUUGGCAACUCUUGGGCGACCGAGAGCUAAAACCAUUGGUUGCUAAUAUGUCCACGGAAACCACAAAUGUGCUGGGCGAAAGCUGGGCAAUUGCAAGAGGACGCCACCGAGGAGGCGUCGCCGCUUCUGCCGCGGAUGUGACAGACGUUGCCAAGUCAUCUUAUAAAAAAAAGGAAGUGAAGAAUGAUUAAGAGGGUCACGCCCUCUGCCCCUCCAACCUCUCUAAUUAGUUUCUUUCUCUGUCUUCUGUGCAUGCACCUGCUCAGGUGGGAUCUUAAGGAAAAGUAAUUCUGUGGCCCCACCUAAUCUGGUAGGUUGCAUUGAAUCACAUCAUCUAUGACUGGUGAUCAACAUGAGUCAGAUUGAAUAUAAUCCAUCUUAUCUUCAUCACUAUCACCAUCAUCAUUAUCAUCUGCAUGCUACAAUGACUACUAUAUUUUAAAAAAUCAAUAUGUUCAUAUUCUAUAGGAAAUUUCAAUGUAGGUGAUAGUUUUUUAUUUAAUUUAGUUUAUUUUGUUUUUGGAUUACUAAUAUAGAAACCAUAUUUUAUUCAGCCACCAGAGGGAGCUCCCAAAUCUAUGCAUUCUAAAGGAAAAUAAAUGUGGUUGUAUUAUGGUUAACAAUCAAGCAUUCAAUCAGCUGUGACUCAUGGUGUUGUCUGCUCAUAUAUCAGGUCUUUUGUACAUAAAGUGCCUAAAAUCCUGUCCUUCUACACAUGCCACAUUAUUUUAAUGCAGUUCUUAAAUAAUAGUCUUUUUCUGUUUCUUUUUCUUUUUCUUUUUUUUAGUUUGAGUCAUUGUUAUUUCAACCCUAUAUUUUAAUUUUGGAUAGUAUUGAUUAAUUCCUUUUGUUCUGA